UCCGGGAAACCGGGGCUAAUACCGGAUACGAGCUCUGAUCGCAUGAUCGGGGCUGGAAAGUUUUUCGGUUGAAGAUGACCUCGCGGCCUAUCAGCUUGUUGGUGAGGUAAUGGCUCACCAAGGCGACGACGGGUAGCCGGCCUGAGAGGGCGACCGGCCACACUGGGACUGAGACACGGCCCAGACUCCUACGGGAGGCAGCAGUGGGGAAUAUUGGGCAAUGGAGGAAACUCUGACCCAGCGACGCCGCGUGCGGGAUGAAGGCCUUCGGGUUGUAAACCGCUUUCAGUAGGGAAGAAGCGAAAGUGACGGUACCUACAGAAGAAGCACCGGCUAACUAUGUGCCAGCAGCCGCGGUAAUACAUAGGGUGCAAGCGUUGUCCGGAAUUAUUGGGCGUAAAGAGCUCGUAGGUGGUUUGAUACGUCGGGUGUGAAAUUCAGGGGCUCAACCCCUGACCUGCAUUCGAUACGGUCAAGCUGGAGUUUGGUAGGGGAGACUGGAAUUCCUGGUGUAGCGGUGGAAUGCGCAGAUAUCAGGAGGAACACCGAUGGCGAAGGCAGGUCUCUGGGCCAAUACUGACACUGAGGAGCGAAAGCGUGGGGAGCGAACAGGAUUAGAUACCCUGGUAGUCCACGCCGUAAACGAUGGGCGCUAGUUGUGCGA
rnacentral:rRNA from 1 species